AUCCAACUGACGAAUUCCAAGUAAAAUUAAACGCGCGUCCUGGAU
rnacentral:hammerhead_ribozyme from 1 species